rnacentral:rRNA from 1 species
UACGUAGGGAGCAAGCGUUGUCCGGAAUCACUGGGCGUAAAGCGCACGUAGGCGGAUCUUUAAGUCAGGGGUGAAAUCCUGGAGCUCAACUCCAGAACUGCCUUUGAUACUGGGGAUCUCGAGUCCGGAAGAGGUGAGUGGAACUCCGAGUGUAGAGGUGAAAUUCGUAGAUAUUCGGAAGAACACCAGUGGCGAAGGCGGCUCACUGGUCCGGUACUGACGCUGAGGUGCGAAAGCGUGGGGAGCAAACAGG